UACGUAGGGGGCAAGCGUUGUCCGGAUUUAUUGGGCGUAAAGAGCGUGUAGGCGGCCAGGUAGGUCCGCUGUGAAAACUCGAGGCUCAACCUCGAGAUGUCGGCGGAAACCAUCUGGCUAGAGUCCGGAAGAGGAGAGUGGAAUUCCUGGUGUAGCGGUGAAAUGCGCAGAUAUCAGGAAGAACACCAGCGGCGAAGGCGGUGCUCUGGGCCGGAACUGACACUGAGGAGCGAAAGCGUGGAUAGCAAACAGG
rnacentral:rRNA from 1 species